rnacentral:misc_RNA from 1 species
AAAUGACUCAUCAGCAAAUAUUGGUAAUAAGUCCAAUAGGAGUUGAUGGAUGAUGAGUGUUGCUGUGAUUGGCUCACUUUAAAUAAAUAAGUUGGUUCAUUUACAAUUUGUGGAAUGACUUAAUGUGAUAGAUAUCUUCAUUAGGGAGGGCAAUUAUUGCUGCCACACUAUAUUGUAUUUGAUGGCUUCUAACUGAGUGAAUAGUCUGUUUAAAAUCAGAAUAUAUCACCCUUGA